GAUGAACGCUGGCGGCGUGCCUAAUACAUGCAAGUCGAGCGAACGGACGAGAAGCUUGCUUCUCUGAUGUUAGCGGCGGACGGGUGAGUAACACGUGGAUAACCUACCUAUAAGACUUGGAUAACUUCGGGAAACCGGAGCUAAUACCGGAUGAUAUUUUGAACCGCAUGGUUCAAAAGUGAAAGACGGUCUUGCUGUCACUUAUAGAUGGAUCCGCGCUGCAUUAGCUAGUUGGUAAGGUAACGGCUUACCAAGGCAACGAUGCAUAGCCGACCUGAGAGGGGGUGCGCCAAAACGGAACUGAGGAAACGCUCCGGACCCUAAGGGGGGGCACAGGAGGGGAGAUUUCCGCAAUGGGGGAAAGCUGAAGGUGCAACGGCGCCGUGGGGGAGAAGGGUUUCCGGAUGGUAAAACCCUGUUUUAGGGAAGAACAUAUGUGUAAGUAACUGUGCACAUCUUGACGGUACCUAAUCAGAAAGCCACGGCUAACUACGUG
rnacentral:rRNA from 1 species